rnacentral:rRNA from 1 species
AUUGAACGCUAGCGGGAUGCUUUACCCAUGCAAGUCGAACGGAGUGGCGGACGGGUGAGUAAUAUCUCGGAAAGUGCCCAGUAGCGGGGGAUAACUCCUCGAAAGAGUGGCUAAUCCCGCAUACUAUUGGAGCGGCCCAUAUCGGAUUAGCUAGUAGGGAGGGUAAAGGCUCACCAAGGCAACGAUCCGUAGCUGGUUUGAGAGGACGACCAGCCACACUGGGACGGAGACACGGCCCAGACUCCUACGGGAGGCAGCAGUGGGGAAUUUUGGACAAGGGGGGAAACCCUGAUGCAGCCAUCCCGAGUGUAUGAUGAAGGCCUUCGGGUUGUAAAGUACUUUUAGCCGAGAGGCGGUAUCUGCAGAAUAAGCACCGGCUAACUACGUGCCAGCAGCCGCGGUAAUUC